UCUGCGGCAAGAUCCCCUUCAACUCCUUCAUCCAUUCAUUCUUUUUCCUAUUUUUGCCCCUCUAAUUUUCCAUCUCCCUGGAUUUUUUUAUUUUUCUUCUGUGAUUUAGUUAGUAAAAGGAAUAUAGCGAUGGAAGAGUUUUGAGCUGUUGCUGUUGGCUUGGUCGUCGUCGUCUCCCUCAACGAGUCGCUUUGUUCAUGGCUCUUCUCAUCUUGUUUCGCGAUGCAACAGUGUAAGCACCUCUCUCUGUAAGUACUCUCUUCCCCUUGUUUCUG
rnacentral:lncRNA from 1 species